rnacentral:rRNA from 1 species
AGUGAACGCUGGCGGUAGGCCUAACACAUGCAAGUCGAACGGCAGCACAGUAAGAGCUUGCUCUUACGGGUGGCGAGUGGCGGACGGGUGAGGAAUACAUCGGAAUCUACUUUUUCGUGGGGGAUAACGUAGGGAAACUUACGCUAAUACCGCAUACGACCUACGGGGGAAAGCGGGGGAUCUUCGGACCUUGCGCGAUUGAAUGAGCCGAUGUCGGGUUAGCUAGUGGGGGGGGUAAAGGCCCACCAAGGGGACGAUCCGUAGCUGGUCUGAGAGGAUGGUCAGCCACCCUGGAACGGAGACACGGUCCAGACCCCUACGGGAGGCAGCAGUGGGGAAUAUUGGACAAUGGGCGCAAGCCUGAUCCAGCCAUACCGCGUGGGUGAAGAAGGCCUUCGGGUUGUAAAGCCCUUUUGUUGGGAAAGAAAAGCAGCAGGUUAAUACCCCGCUGUUCUGACGGUAACCAAAGAAUAAGCACCGGCUAACUUCGUG